rnacentral:rRNA from 1 species
GACGAACGCUGGCGGCGUGCUUAACACAUGCAAGUCGAACGGUGAACUCCGCUUGCGGGGGGAUCAGUGGCGAACGGGUGAGUAACACGUGGGCAACCUGCCCUCAGCUCUGGGAUAACUCCAAGAAAUUGGGGCUAAUACCGGAUAUGACCGCUGACCGCAUGGUCUGGUGGUGGAAAGAUUUAUCGGCUGGGGAUGGGCCCGCGGCCUAUCAGCUUGUUGGUGGGGUAGUGGCCACCAAGGCGACGACGGGUAGCCGGCCUGAGAGGGUGACCGGCCACACUGGGACUGAGACACGGCCCAGACUCCUACGGGAGGCAGCAGUGGGGAAUAUUGCGCAAUGGGCGAAAGCCUGACGCAGCGACGCCGCGUGGGGGAUGACGGCCUUCGGGUUGUAAACCUCUUUCAGCAGGGACGAAGCGAAAGUGACGGUACCUGCAGAAGAAGCACCGGCCAACUACGUG